rnacentral:SRP_RNA from 1 species
GCCAGGCGCGGUGGCGCGCGCCUGUAGUCCCAGCUACUCGGGAGGCUGAGGCAGGAGGAUCGCUUGAGCCCAGGAGUUCUGGGCUGUAGUGCGCUAUGCCGAUCAGGUGUCCGCACUAAGUUCGGCAUCAAUAUGGUGACCUCCCGGGAGCAGGGGACCACCAGGUUGCCUAAGGAGGGGUGAACCGGCCCAGGUCGGAAACGGAGCAGGUCAAAACUUAUAGGUACAAUCAUAAUGUUUUUCAAAAUAAUAAAUAUGAAUACAUGUAUAAUUAUGAAUGUAUGUGCAUGUGUGAGCUAUACAGCACUAACUACACGCAU